AAGGUAGGGGUGGUGAAGGGAGGCAUUGGAAGAACAAAGAAGAAGAAUUAGGAAACCAUGCAAUGUCCCGUUGUUUGAGGUUGCCCCCAUUUGCAACUGGAUGUUCUGUGUGUGAUGCAAGUUGCAUGUUGUGUUCAGCUCAACGAGUUCCAACGGCUUUGUGACAACAAGCACAGGCGAGCGAACCUGCCGUUGAGGUGGGUCGCACAGCAGAGCAAAUGGCAGAGGUGCCCCAAGCACAAGAUCUACGUAGACAGAAAGGAUGGCUGCACCUUCAUUGCUUGAAGAUAACUACUGCUUUGUUGGCUUUUCCUAAAAUGGCGUACGUUGGAGUCUAAAUCGAUUGAGUGCCACGGAUGAACGCAGCAGUAUCCGUAUAAUGAAAGUGAAGUUUCUGGACAAAUCCAACUACAAAUUCUGGGAACGAGUUAAAUAUUCGACCAAUAUAACAUCCAUGUUGAACUAGCUACCUAUCCUGCACAUGGAACACAUCGUCAAGUCAAGCGAGUAAAGAAACUAUUUCAAGACAUGUUAGUUCACCAAUCUCCUGUAUUGAGUUGUAGGUUAUCAUAAGAAGAAGCAAUUAGACAUUGAAUCUUCGCUUCACCAAUCCCAGGAAAAAUUCCCGAUAUGGUAGAGGACUGACGAUUUCCUGACAAUGGGGGCCUAAUUUAGUAUUUGCAUGAAGCAUCAUUGGAUUAUCCAUGGAGAGACAAUUUAUAAUUAUCAGAAAGGCACCACCGAUGUCCAAGUCGUCUUUGGUGUAUGCGUCGUCUUUGUCCGCUUCCUUCACAUGCUCUUCGUUGCCACUGAUCGACCUUGCGUAGCACCCAACACGCCGUGAGUGAGGAGUUUUCGGCCAAGCACUAUAAGAAGGAUGAUUUUUGCUACCUCAAGAGGUACCUCCCAUGUUUUCACCAUGCUACCAUACUCUCAUUUUGAUCUACGAGAUUAUCUUAAUUGGUUCAACAUUUGAUCUAGCAGCAUCUGAUUUGUAUGAUGUUUUAUUAUGUACAGGAUUAUCCUUAAGUUGUUUUGAGGGGAAAGGGGAUGACCAAGAUGAUUUUCUACAACCAUAUUUACAUCUUUAGAGCAUACUUUGGUCAGGACGUUGGCGGUAGCUACCAUGUUGCUUCAACACGAUGGAGUAGUGCAUGUAGUUCUUGACGAUUGUUAGUUGGUUUUUUAAGGAAACAACUGUAUUUGAUUGUUUGGUCAUUCAUAGAUUUUAAUGUCUUGACACUAUAAUACUAGCUUGUUCAGUAAUUUCCCCACAUUUUAUGAAAGAUUUUUAAAUAGAACAACGAUGUGAACGGGAAUCCUCUGAAAAGGAAUUUGAGUUCUAGAGAGCUUUGUUGGGUUACCACACCAUAUUUGUGCAUGGAAGUUAAAUCAUCGGAGUGGGAGUUUGAGGCAACAGUAAUGGCAAAACUUGAGCUGCUGACCGAGCCCGCAAUUUUGUUAUUCUAGGCUUGUUUGGGCUGAAAUUUCUCCCAACCAUCAAGGAAGUACGACUGGAUGUCAUCUUUUUUAUCAUUGUAUAGGUGGAUAUU